rnacentral:lncRNA from 1 species
UUUUGAAUGCAUGCUAUUCUGCAUCUGAUUUUGCUUCGUUCCCUAAAACUAUGUUUGGCAGGCUGCAGCUACAACUAUCACUGUCAGUGCAGAAAGAGUUCCUGAGCAGCUUGCACACCCUUCAAUCCUAUAAUAUGUAUAUAUACACAUGCUUAACUAUAAAUGCUAUCAAGAUUCGGAGUAAUAUUACAAAAAUAGGCCUACAAAUAUGAGAGCUAUGACGUUAAAAAAUAUAUUAGUAAACAUGUUUAGCUAUAAUGAUACCAAUAAUGAUGAUAAAAGCAGUAAAAAUAUCACAAGGUUAUUUUAAGAUGGGUUCAUUUUUGUUAAUCUACUUACACAGAUAUUAUAAUCCGAAAUGCGGCUGGUAAACCAUCACUUGCAGUGGCAGUGAACAACCUUAUUGCAGCGGAAGGUCCAAAAGAUAUAUCUGAUAGCUUAAAGAAGCUUGAUCUGCUUAAAUGAGAAAAAAUCGAAGAAGUUUCAGCUGGAACAUGCAAUUAAUUGACUUGAAGCUAACAAAGAGAGAUAAUACAUGAAAAUCCUGUUCUAGUUCUUCAUGCAAACAAGAUGGAUCAGGUUUUCUAUUUUGGGGUUCUGCAUUUCUCACUUUUGAUCUUUUGUUCUUUAUUUGAGAACAUAGACAGCCCGCUAAUGAAUUUGAUGGUUCUCUUUAUUUCUUCUGUUUGCUAGUGAAAUUCUACAGGCUCGGAAACUUGUUGCUGUUUUGCCAGAGCUGUUUCCUGACAGCGUGCUGCCUGUACUAGCGAGAGAAAACAAGGCAGAGAAAGCCGAAGAAAUGUUAGGUGAGCUAGCUAGGAAAUUUCAUUAAAAGAAGAUCAUCCUCUUGCUCUUAGCAGGGGCACAGAUUGCUGCUCUGGCCACCCUCAA